rnacentral:rRNA from 1 species
CCGGGCUGGAAAAGCAUGGUAGUCGGUGGAAACACUGAUUUGCUCGCAAGAGAACCAUGAUCCAGGUGCUGCAUGGCUGUCGUCAGCUCGUGUCGUGAGAUGUUGGGUUAAGUCCCGCAACGAGCGCAACCCUUGUCUUCAGUUGCCAUCAUUUAGUUGGGCACUCUGAAGAGACUGCCGGCGUCAAGCCGGAGGAAGGUGGGGAUGACGUCAAGUCCUCAUGGCCCUUAUGUCCGGGGCUACACACGUGCUACAAUGGUCGAUACAGAACGUCGCGUACCCGCGAGGGGAAGCCAAUCGGCAAAAGUCGACCUCAGUACGGAUUGCAGGCUGCAACUCGCCUGCAUGAAGCCGGAAUUGCUAGUAAUCGCUGAUCAGCAGGCAGCGGUGAAUACGUUCCC